rnacentral:lncRNA from 1 species
UUAUCCUACUUGACAGCAGGUCUGAAAUUGGCAGUUUAGGGCUGAUUCGGUGGCUCCACAAAGUGGUCUUCAUCUUUGCCCGCUCCUCCUUGCUCAGUGUGUCAGCCGUGUGUCACUCUGUGAUCGUUACUAAUUGGUACACUAAGCAUUCUCUGCCCUCCACCUGCUCCAGCAUCAAGUAAGGUUGUAUCUGAUCCCUCUGGGGUUGGAUGGGGACAUAAGACCGAUUCUCUCUAACGACUGUUGGGUGGAAGAGACAGGUGCUGCCUCCGGGACAGAGCGUGGAUUUGCUAGUUGGAGACGUUCUGAGGUUCUCUCUGCCCACUGGUAUAAAAACAGCACAAACCAGCAAAACUAAUGACAGCAACAACCAUCGCGGCCUUCGCCAUGGUGGCUACUCCGGCAGGCUGAAUCUGAGCGUCAGUGAGAACCAGAACCCCCAGCCCGUUUGCAGUGGACAAGUGGUGCAACAUGGAGAAAAUGCCAUUUUAAGUCCCUGAGAUUAGAGGAUUGCUUGUUACUAAUUACCCAGUUCUGACCGAAAGGAGGUUUCUGCGCUUUGACCACGGCAUCUUCACACAACAAUGGCAACCAUCAGAGAGGCACUGUGUGUGUAUGUGUGUGUGUACGUGUGUCUGUACGUGUGUGUGUGUGUGUUUGGGGUGGGGGGAGGUCUGAUCCUUUUGUGUCUCUCUGUGUCGUUAUCAUGUCUCACUCUCUGAAUUGGUCUCCACAGGUCCCACUGGCUGUCAUUGGGCUAUGUGGCCAAGCCUACGGCAGAAGAAGUCAGGAAAGCGUUCAGCGGCUGUUCCCCAUCUCUCAUCCCUGCAGUGGGAGCAAAGCUCCUCCAGACAGUUCCUGUGACUCAGCCUCUCUCUCUGACCAAACUGUAGCCCGGUUCCUACAAGCCCUCUCCUCGACCAGCCCUAUGAGAAUCACCCCCUCAGCCCACGUGUCCGUGUCCUGCUCCACACGAAGAGACUUGCAGACACCAGCACCCUUUCUGCCGGCUGAAGGCUGUGUUCCUAGGAUGAAACUCUUUCCCCUUAAGUUCCUGCCCGAGAACGAUCAACUGUGCUGAAAGAAUUAACUAUUUAUUUCAGUCAAAACCUGGCCAUAGGAUCCUGACCUUCCUUUUCGUAGAGCUUUUAUGUAGAAAACUUACAAUUGUAAAUUAUUUCUCUGCACCUUUGAGAUAUAAAUCUUCUCCCAGCCUCCUGCCAGUUUUAUAACCCAUCAAUGUCUUUCUCGAGAACCUAAGAGGCAUCCUUUGAAAUGUCAUCAUCAAGGACGGGACCCCUGCCUCCCAGUCUCUGUGGAAGGGUAGGAGUUUAACUUCCACAAGUGCCAGGCACAAACAGAGGUGCCUAAUCACAUCCAACGUUCCUGUCCUUUUGUAGUUUCCUUUAGAACAGCCCAGCAUUUAAAAAGCCUCCUGCUUUCAUUUCAGAGGAGUUGGUCUCAGCUGACGUCUCUCUCCCCUAUUGCAGGAGUCUGAAUAAAAUCUGUCUCACCAUUUUUAACGUGUCCA